AUUUUGUCCUUGCAGAAUAAGCACGAUUUUAUUCAAAAUCACAAAACUUGAGAAAGAUUGCGACCAGAGGGACUGAAAUACAGCGAAAUAUCUUCAAUUUUUUCUUAUUUGGCAACAUCUUAAUUUAACUCAUUAAAUUUAAGUGCUCAAAUAAUAAUAAGUGACGCGGCGGUCGCGGCACUGACAGAGCCGCAAAAAACACAUCUGCCUCUACGCCAAUCAAAUCGCUGAAAUCAAGGAGCGCUGAACGCUGAUUGGUUGGCUUUACAAACAUUAAAGAGUAAAGAUAAAGAGUUCAAAACAUAACUCAAAUUUUAAGUACUGAAGUAUAUAUCUAAUAAUAUUUAAGAAUAUUUUCAAAUUUAAAUUAAAUUACAUAAUUUGCAAAGUAAAAAAUCAAUUUUGAGAAACGAGAAAUACAGAAUCUAGUUUCAAAUAUUCAUCUCCUUGUCACACACUCCACUGAAAACGGGGGCGGAUUUGAUAACAACACCUGAGCAUGAGCAUGAGCACUUGACUGACAACGCAGUAACAAUGAGUGACAAGACAAAGCAAAAAAUAAUUGUUUAUCACUGCCAACGACGACGGGACGACAGUAUUCAGGAACAGACGGCAUUGAGAAUUAUCGCUAAAAGCUUUAAACCAUUUUGAGUGGAGACAUGGAGAGACAUUCAAGGAGCUUAAGGAGUCGACUAGGAAAAACUCCGAUUCAGAAGCCGCUGUGCAGACUGUGCGAGUGUCCGACGUCGGACGGCCACGUCCUCGCGUCGCAGGUGGACAGGUUCAAGCUGAGAAAAUGGGCCAUGGAGGUCAUGAACCUGACGGAAGAAGACGAAAACUUGCCGGACGUGGUCGAAGAAGACGCUUUGAUCUGCUAUUUUUGCAUCUGGCAGGCCGAGUUUGGGGAUGAGUCUGGAGACGAGGCUGUUGCUUGGUGGCCGAAAAAUCUUGAUUUGGAAGAAAACGCUAAGGUUCUUCGGGAGAAUUAUUCAGUUGGAGAAGUAGAGCAGUGUUGGGUGCAGUUGGAAGAGAUUGAUCUGGCAAAAUAUGAAAAGAAAAUCCCUAAGAAGAGGAAAUUCGUCAGUGGAGUGUGUAUUUACUGCGGCAACAGAUACGACCGACUGAUGAAGCACGUCAAACGGAUGCACAAAAAAGCCAUCAAAUGCGGAAUUUGGGGCUGCACAACUUACUUUCACACCGAGGAGGAAAAAGAGCAGCACAUGCAGCACGAUUUUCACGGGAAACGGGACAAACCACGAGAAAGCAGGAAAAUUCGUUGCAAAUUUUGUGGAAUCAUCCGUUUUUAUUCCUCAUGGGAAUCGUGGAGACAGCACAUGACUCGGGACCAUCCAGAACUCCCGGUGGUGUGUGCGCAUCAUGGCUGCAAAGAGUAUUUCAAAUCCAAGUCUGAAAUGAUUCUACACUUCAACUCGCACAAACGAGGCUUAAAUCAAGAUCUUUUCCAGUGCGAGCAUUGCGAAUAUUUCACAAAGUUUGAUUGUAAUUUCAGAAAACACGUAGAGGCGAAGCACAUGCCAAAGAUCUUCAAAUGUGACAGAUGCGACGCCAAAUUCGGCUCAACAAUGUUAGUGAAUAGACACUUCAAACAAUAUCACACAUUCCACAGGUGCAAAUCUUGUGGCCAGGACGUGGCUCACGGAUUCAGCUCAAGCCACAGAAGGCCAGUAGUUUGUUCUGAAUGCAAUCUGAAAUCCAAGUGCUUGGGUUUGCAUCAAUUACACAGGAAGAGCUGUCAAGAAAUUGUCAGUAGAUGCGAAGAGUGUGGAAAAACUUUCAAAAGUUGGAUUUUGGAUCAACACGUGAGAAAUUUCCACACCAAAAAACCGAGUGGAAUCGUCAAAAGCGUGAAAUUUCGCUGCGACCAUUGCGACUACUCUACAAUUAAUAAAUUUGUCAUUGAGCGGCACUUGCAAUGCGCACAUUUUCCAAAGACGAUUAAGUGUGGAGAGUGCAACAAACUGUUUCCCUCGAAAGCUAUUCUCUCUAUUCACAAGUCCAGGUGGCACAAAUUCGUUCGCUGCGCUGAAUGUUCUCAGGAGAUGUGCUAUCAAAACAUUUAUAAACAUCAGCUAAUCAAGACUUUGCCGCCGCUGUAAGUACAAGUUCAAGUGCCGAGGACUUCUUGAGAAGCAUAAUGAGAGCUGCCAGAGUAAUAAUUUUUAUUGUGACAUGUGCCCGAAUACUUAUUUGACAAGGCAAUGUUUGUAUUGCCAUAUUGUCAGGAAGCACAUUGUUGGCUGAUGUGAGGUUUUGCCAAAAAUUAAAAUUAAUACUGACGUUAUGAAAAAUUAAUGCGUACGUGUUAAAUUAUAAUAAUGAACCAAAAUAUCCUCUCUUCUACAGUUAUUUUGUUUCAGUUUUGGUAGGAGUUUUGUGUAAAAAAUAUUUAAAUUUAAAAUUUGUUCAAAUUAAAAUUUCUUUAACUCCUUUGUUGGCCGGGAGCAAGACUGGAAAGUCCUGGGAGGGUUAAUUCACAAACAGCGAAUAGUGGAAAAUUCCUGUUUUUCGAUAAAAGACCGGGAUUAAAUUUUUGCUUGAAAUCACUAAUAAUGAGAACUAAAAAGAGUCAACAAUGCGGAAUAUCAAUUGUUGGCUGGUAAAGCUCCCUAUUAAAAACAAUUAAGAAAUAUUUUAUCGUUCUUGCAAUAGAUAUGAUCAAAUGGCUUCCACCCCUUGGGACAACUGUCUGUUGAAAGGGUGAAAUUGUCCACAAUACUCUAUAAAAGAAAUGACGCUGCACGGACAAAUCCGCAAAAAUCAAAUCUAUAACUCUACGCCAAUCAAAUCCCAGCAAUCAAUGAGCGCUGAACGCUGAUUGGUUGCCUUUACAAACUCAGAAGUGUUAAGAUAAGGAGUUAACAACACACCUCGAAUUUUGGAAUAUUAAAAAGUCAAUCUAAAACUAUUUAAGAAAUUUAUGUAUCGAAAACAAUAAUAGAAUAAAAAAAAACCAACAAACCAAUAAUAAAUGACGUGGAAAAACAGAUACCAGCUUCGAGUUUUCUUCUCCUUGUCUCACUCUCCACUGCAAACGGGGGCGGAGUUGUUUACGUUGACAUUAAUUGGUUUUCGCUUUUGUUUCACAGAGCAAGAAGGAAGAUCCGCGUGAAAAAAAAGUUAUUAUUUAUGUCUGCCAAUCCAUUCGAGAAUAAACGACAUUGAAAAUUAACACUUAAAACCUUUUUGGGAUAUAACUUUAUUGAGUGGAGACAUGGAGAGCCAUUCAAGGAGCUUAAGGAGUAAAGAAGGAAAAACACCCAUUCAAAAGCCGCUGUGCCGACUGUGCGAGUGUCCGACGUCGGACGGCCACGUCCUCGCGUCGCAGGUGGACAGGUUCAAGCUGAGGAAAUGGGCCAUGGAGGUCAUGAACCUGACGGAAGAAGACGAAAACCUGCCGGACGUGGUCGAAGAAGACGCUUUGAUAUGCUAUUUUUGCAUCUGGCAGGCCGAGUUUGGUGAUGAGUCUGGAGACGAGGCUGUUGCUUGGUGGCCGAAAAACCUUGAAUUGGAAGAAAACGCUAAGGUACUGCGUGAGAAUUAUUCAGUUGGUGAAGUAGAACAGUGUUGGGUGCAGUUGGAAGAGGUUGAUCUGGCCGAAUACACCAAGAAAAUCCCCGAGACGAGGAAAUUUUUCAGUGGAGAGUGUAUUUACUGCGGAAACAGAUUCAACAAACUGAUGGACCACGUCAGACUGAUGCACAAAGACGCCAUCAAAUGCGGAAUUCGGGGCUGCAUGACUUACUUUCACACCGAGGAGGAAAAAGAGCAGCACAUGCAGCAAAAUUUACACGCGAAACGGAACAAGCCAAGGGAGAGCAGUAUAGUUGUUUGCGAAUUUUGUCAAAACGUCAAAUUUUGCUCCUCACUGGACGCUUGGAGGCAUCACAUGAAACGCGUUCAUCCAGAUUUUCCUGUGCGGUGCCCGCAAUUAAGGUGCAUCGAGUACUUCAAAACCAAGUCCGAGAUGAUUGUCCACGUCAACUCGUGGCACAAGCGAGGCAUAAAUCAAGAAAUCUUCGAGUGCAAGCAUUGCGAGUAUUACUCAAGAGUUGAAUCUCAUUUAAGACAACAUGAACAGCGGAGGCACAUGCCAAAGAUCUUCAAAUGCGACAUUUGCGACGCCAAAUUCGGCUCGAAGCGGCUAUUGAAAACACACUACAGUUUAUCUCACACGUUCGACAAGUGCAAAUCUUGUGGCCUUGACGUUUCUCUGGAAAGCAAGUCACGCCACAGGAAGCCGUUGGUUUGCCCCAAAUGCAAUCUCAGUCUCGAGUGCUCCGGUUUGUACCAAUUGCAUAGGAAGAGCUGCCGAGAAACCGUUAGUAGAUGCGAAGAGUGCGGAAAAACGUUCAACACGAGCAGGCAGUUGAAUCACCACUCGAGAAAAGUUCACACCAAAACCGCGAUUGUUUUCUGCGAGCAUUGCAACCAUUCUACUUACAUUAAACGACGCAUGAGGUUGCACAUGGAACGCAAGCAUCUUCCAAAGACGAUUAAGUGUGAAGAUUGCAACAAAUUGUAUGGCUCUGAAUAUUUUCUCAAGGAUCACAAGUCCAAGGUGCACUCUUUCCUUCGCUGCGCUGAGUGUGCGCGGGAGAUAGGCCGUCACAAAAUGUAUAAACACCAAACCGUCAAGACCUGCCACCGUUGUAAGUGCAAAUUUAAGUGCCUAGGACUGCUUGAAAAUCAUAGGAGGAGCUGCUGGAAGAUUAAUUUUCAGUGUGACAAGUGCCCGAAUAUUUAUAUAACAAAGAAAGGAUUGUUUAACCAUAUUGUCAGGACUCACAAUGAUGCAUCCUGAAAAAUUGUCGCCUAUCUAUUCUAUCUAAUUAUAAAAACCUUCCUUUUAAGGUUGUUUUUCUACACUUUCAGUUUAGGAAGGUGUUUUGUGAACAUUGUUUCUGAAAAUAAAUUUUAUUUUUCAAGCCUAAAA